AGGGCGCACGGUGGAUGCCUUGGCACUAGGAGCCGAUGAAGGACGGGACUAACACCGAUAUGCUUCGGGGAGCUGUAAGUAAGCUUUGAUCCGGAGAUUUCCGAAUGGGGAAACCCAGCAUCUUUUAUAGGAUGUUACUUUUCAGUGAAUACAUAGCUGAUUAGAGGUAGACGCAGAGAACUGAAACAUCUAAGUACCUGCAGGAAGAGAAAGAAAAAUCGAUUCCCUGAGUAGCGGCGAGCGAAACGGGAAAAGCCCAAACCAAGAGGCUUGCCUCUUGGGGUUGUAGGACUCCAAUAUGGUAGUCCAGUGAGAUAGUCGAAGGACCUGGAAAGGUCUGCUAGAAAGGGUAAAAGCCCCGUAGACAAAAUUUGACUGGCACCUAGGAGGAUCCUGAGUACGGCGGAACACGAGGAAUUCCGUCGGAAUCCGGGAGGACCAUCUCCCAAGGCUAAAUACUCCCUAGUGACCGAUAGUGAACCAGUACCGUGAGGGAAAGGUGAAAAGCACCCCGGAAGGGGAGUGAAAUAGAUCCUGAAACCGUGUGCCUACAACAAGUUAGAGCCCGUUAAUGGGUGAUAGCGUGCCUUUUGUAGAAUGAACCGGCGAGUUACGAUUACUUGCGAGGUUAAGUUGAAAAGACGGAGCCGCAGCGAAAGCGAGUCUGAAUAGGGCGAAUGAGUAAGUGGUCGUAGACCCGAAACCAUGUGAUCUACCCAUGUCCAGGUUGAAGGUGCGGUAAAACGCACUGGAGGACCGAACCCACGUACGUUGAAAAGUGCGGGGAUGAGGUGUGGGUAGCGGAGAAAUUCCAAACGAACUUGGAGAUAGCUGGUUCUCUCCGAAAUAGCUUUAGGGCUAGCCUCAGAGUAAGAAUGAUGGAGGUAGAGCACUGUUUGGACUAGGGGCCCAUCUCGGGUUACCGAAUUCAGAUAAACUCCGAAUGCCAUCCAUUCAUCUCUGGGAGUCAGACUGUGAGUGAUAAGAUCCAUAGUCGAAAGGGAAACAGCCCAGACCACCAGCUAAGGUCCCCAAAUAACUAUUAAGUGGAAAAGGAUGUGGGGUUGCACAGACAACUAGGAUGUUGGCUUAGAAGCAGCCACCAUUUAAAGAGUGCGUAAUAGCUCACUAGUCGAGUGACCCUGCGCCGAAAAUGUACCGGGGCUAAAUAGUUUACCGAAGCUGUGGAACACACCAAUGGUGUGUUGGUAGGAGAGCGUUCUAAGGGCGUUGAAGGUAGAUCGUGAGGACUGCUGGAGCGCUUAGAAGUGAGAAUGCCGGUAUGAGUAGCGAAAGACAGGUGAGAAUCCUGUCCACCGAAUGACUAAGGUUUCCUGGGGAAGGCUCGUCCGCCCAGGGUUAGUCGGGACCUAAGCCGAGGCCGAAAGGCGUAGGCGAUGGAUAACAGGUUGAUAUUCCUGUACCCGUUGUUUUUGUUUGAGCAAUGGAGGGACGCAGGAGGCUAAGGAAUCAGACGAUUGGAAAUGUCUGUCCAAGCAAUGAGUCUUGAUGUGAGUCAAAUGCUUACAUCUCUAAGGACAAGUUGUGAUGGGGAGGGAAAUAAUAGUACCGAAGUUCCUGAUGUCACACUGCCGAGAAAAGCUUCUAGUGAGAAAACAAUGGCCCGUACCGCAAACCGACACAGGUAGUCGAGGAGAGAAUCCUAAGGUGAGCGAGAGAACUCUCGUUAAGGAACUCGGCAAAAUGACCCCGUAACUUCGGGAGAAGGGGUGCUGAUCUAACGAUCAGCCGCAGUGAAUAGGCCCAAGCGACUGUUUAUCAAAAACACAGGUCUCUGCAAAAUCGAAAGAUGACGUAUAGGGGCUGACGCCUGCCCGGUGCUGGAAGGUUAAGAGGAGUGCUUAGCGUAAGCGAAGGUACGAAUUGAAGCCCCAGUAAACGGCGGCCGUAACUAUAACGGUCCUAAGGUAGCGAAAUUCCUUGU
rnacentral:rRNA from 1 species